rnacentral:misc_RNA from 1 species
GAUGUAGAACGUAGCGAAAUGCGAUACGUAAUGUGAAUUGCAGAAUUCAGUGAAUCAUCGAGUCUUUGAACGCACAUUGCGCCCCCUGGUAUUCCGGGGGGCAUGCCUGUCCGAGCGUCAUUGCUGCCCUCAAGCACGGCUUGUGUGUUGGGCCUCCGUCCUCCUCCCGGGGGACGGGCCCGAAAGGCAGCGGCGGCACCGCGUCCGGUCCUCGAGCGUAUGGGGCUUCGUCACCCGCUCUUGUAGGCCCGGCCGGCGCUUGCCGACACAUCAAUCUUUUUUCCAGGUUGACCUCGGAUCAGGUAGGGAUACCCGCUGAACUUAAGCAUAUCAAUAAGCGGAGGA